CCCUUAGAUGUUCUGGGCCGCACGCGCGCUACACUGAUGCAUUCAACGAGUUUCUUCCUGGUCCGAGAGGAAUGGGUAACCUUUCGAAAGUGCAUCGUGAUAGGGAUAGACUAUUGCAAUUAUUGGUCUUCAACGAGGAAUUCCUAGUAGACGUAGUUCAUCAGACUGCAUCGAUUACGUCCCUGCCCUUUGUACACACCGCCCGUCGCUCCUACCGAUUGAAUGCUCAGGUGAGCCAUUCGGACUUUCAUCAUGCUGGUUUCCAGUUUUGAUGAAGGAAAGUCUUGCGAACCUUAUCAUUUAGAGGAAGGAGAAGUCGUAACA
rnacentral:rRNA from 1 species